rnacentral:tRNA from 1 species
GCGCCCGUAGCUCAGCCGGAUAGAGCACUGGCCUUCGAAGCCAGGGGCCGAAGGUUCGAAUCCUUCCGGGCGCG